CAGGUUCGAGUCCGCAAGAAGACGGUUGUGAAUUCAAAAUAAACAAAACACAUUGAUUUCUAGCAAUAACAAAACAUAAGGUGGGAAAUUAAAUAAAUCUCUACCAGGCGUCCAGAAAGUCUAGCAUGUACACAAACCUCGUUUUUUU